rnacentral:rRNA from 1 species
CGAAAGCCUGACGGAGCAAGACCGCGUGAGGGAGGAAGGCUCUUGGGUUGUAAACCUCUUUUCUCAGGGAAGAAGCUCUGACGGUACCUGAGGAAUCAGCCUCGGCUAACUCCGUGCCAGCAGCCGCGGUAAUACGGAGGAGGCAAGCGUUAUCCGGAAUUAUUGGGCGUAAAGCGUCCGCAGGUGGCAAUUCAAGUCUGCUGUCAAAGCACGGGGCUUAACUCCGUAAAGGCAGUGGAAACUGAAUAGCUAGAGUGCCGUAGGGGUAGAGGGAAUUCCCGGUGUAGCGGUGAAAUGCGUAGAGAUUGGGAAGAACACCAGUGGCGAAGGCGCUCUACUGGGCUAAAACUGACACUGAGAGACGAAAGCUAGGGUAGCG